GGGUUCGUCGAGGGGAGUAGAGGAAGUAGUCGUUCCGCGGUGGUAGUAGAAGUAGUGGUACUAUCGGUCCACGCCAAUAGUGGUACACGUUCAUGAAGUACUCAUACACGUCAUCGGUAGUUUGUUCACUCAACGGCCUUCAACGGCGGUAGUCGUUCUCGUAUCAUCAUGGAAGUAGUUGUACAUGGUUGCGACGGUAACCGAACUUGGGGAUCCGACGGGGUACACUCAAGUCAUCGUGGGAACUUGGCGAAUCCGAGGUCUUCGGGGUCGACGGUAGUUGUACAUCUCGUAGUGGAACUUGACGGAUCCGAGAACUCCCGGUGUCGUGGAACUUCACAAAAGUCGGGGCGGUCUUGAUGCAUCUGACCUGAGGGACUUGGCGUGUCCAAAACGUAGCAGCACAACUGUCUCGGUCGGGAGCACUCGUUCGGGCGUCGUUGGUCUUGCGGGUCGUGGUACUUGACGGUCUUGAUGAAUCCAAUGGUACUUGGCAGUUCAAAAUUGCUCCUGUCCGGGGACGUUUAGUGAAGGCAGGGUCGCAGGUGGUCGGGGCUGGUCGUGGUCACCAACGAGAAGCAGGGUGUGGGAGGAGGAAUACCAUGGCGUGACUGCAGUUUUUUCGGCGCCGGGAACGAGGUGCAGGAGAGGAGAGGGAGAAGAAACGAGGGCGUUGCAGCGGCUCGGUGAUCCUGGCGGGGCUCCUUUGUGGGAUGGGGUGCUCGCCGGCGGUCACUGGUUGCCGAAGGCGCGGGAACCAGAAGGAGCUCGAGGACGCAACCUCCUCUGCUCGGGCGCGGGAUCCAUGGCGGCAUCUAUUCGAACAGAGAGAGAGGGAGCUCGAGGUUAGUUGAAGAGGAGGGAAAAUAGAGGGACACAGGAAGGAGAGGGCGACGUGGUCCUGCUCCGGUUGAGGCGCCGGUGAGCGACGAGGUCUUGCGGGCACGGAGGCCAGAUGGCGGGGACGAGGUGCUCGGGCGCCACGAGAUGAGCGCGGGACGAGGUGCUCGGGGCCAUCCAUGGCGCAGUGGCGGAAGCUCCUCGGGUUCUCUUCUCCGGCGAGGGUGGAGCACGGGUCUCGCACUGGAGGAACGAGGGGAGGGGGUCGAGAGAGGGCGAAGGGAUCGCGGGUGAGAGAAGGGGGUCGGGCGGAGGCGGCGCAGAAGGAGAGCGAAGGGAGAGGGAGAUGGGGUCGACUCCCUGGCGGCUAGGGUUGCCUGUAGGGCGACUGGGCCAGACCGGCUAGAGUGGGAGGCCCGAGUGGGCUGGGGUGCGGUCUGCUGCUGCUGGGCUGCGGCGGCUUGCGCGCAGGGAGGCCGGCCCAGGUAAGCAUAGGUGAGCCCUUUUCUUUCUUUGAUAUUUUCUCCAAACGGAAAAUAAACUAAAAAGGCCAGGGUCAAAGGAAAAGGGGCACAAUAAAAAUAAAAAAUAGUCUCAUGAACCUGAGAUAGUGCUCUAUUUGAAUAAAUUGUCUUGGAUAUUUUUAGAGGUAAGAAAAUAAGUCAAGUGUGAAUAUAGAUCAAACUUGAGCUAUUUUAAAACCUAACCAAAACAACUUAAAAUUUGAUGGAAUUGGCAGGGGCGUUAGGACAGGUAGAAAGAUUUAUGAGGAAGAAAUGGGCAUUAAUGGGGUGAGGAUAUAUGAUCUUUCAAAAAUGAAAGCAAGGAAUGGAUAUAAGAUGGAGGUGAUGAUGCAAGAUCAAAUGCAUGAAGCAUGCAACAACACAACAUGUAUGAACUCACACCAAGCAUAAUACAACAUGUGAGGAGGCCAUGAUGCAACAAUUAAAGACAAGACAAGACAAAACAAUGCAAUGAGAAACAAAAUAAAACCCAAAUUGGAAACCGAAAGAUGACCACUAGGAAUUGAUGACGAACAAGAUGGAUAUAUGCCAAAUUGGGAAAAGUUACAUAUGGGGUGUUACAACACUCCACCACUACAAGAGGAUCUCGUCCAGAGAUCUAGGAUGGCGCCGGAGGGAAAACGGAAGAGGAAGAGAAGAGGUAAAACUAAGUUGCUUCUUUGACAAACGAGUGAAACCACGACUCUUGAGAGGUUGAACAAAUUGAAAGAAAGAAUGCAACAAAGAAGAACAAAGUUGAAGGCACUCCAGUAGAGAAGAGUAACAAGGAAGAACAAAUUCGGACAGCACUUCGGUAGAAAAGAGAUGCAAGGCUUGAUAAGGCGAAAAGAACUUGAGCAAAAGGGCACAACACUCUGGUUAAAUGGAUAGGCAUGAAAAGAACAUGAUCUUUGACAAAGCGAGAUGAUGGGUGAAAAGAACAACGUCGCAAUGCCUCCGAAAGAGAGAAAUAGAAUAUAGAUCAUUGAAAUAAAAGAAUGGAGAAGAAAAGCCAACUUCUGCCACAAAAGAGCUUGAAAAGGCAUCUUUAGGAGAAGGGUCGAACGGAGUUGUUGGAACACCAACAACGGAAGGACAAACUUGAAGUGGGCUUAUAGAAGGCAUCUCAACAUUAUGAGGUGACAACUUGCCACUCACGGAAAAAAUUUGAUUGGGUUUAUAUGACAAGGAGACGAGAAACUAUUCACCGGAAGGACAAAUGAAGAACUUGGGUCAAUUAUAAGCACCAUAAUAGCAACAAUCCUUAGGGAAAGCUUUAGGUGAAAUAUAACCCAAUAUAACUCCAAAGAAGGGAUUGAUGGAUUUAAAAUACCUCAUUCCUAACAACAUGUGAAUCAUGAAACAUGAACCUGAAUUAUCAACAAUGACAUAAUACCAUCUCCAAUAAUUUGGUAGAAAGAAUUGCACUCCGGAUUGCACGAAGAAGAAUACUUGAGCUCCUUAGAAAAGAAUGUUGAUGAACACUUCGAGAAGGAAAUAAAUCCUUGAUGACCCAUCAUGUAGAAACUUCAUGAAGAACUCCGGUAACAAAGGGCAACGACAAGAAAAAGACGUUUAAAAAACACAAGGUGAAACCUUGUAAUGAUUUAAGAUGGAACUUCGUGAUGAUGAGAUCUUGGAACUUCGGGAAAAGAAAAGAUAAAGCAUCUCGAACUGAGAAUGUGAUAUGAUGAACCACUCCGGAAAAAAAGGAAUUAAUCACUUGGAUGGAACAAGAAUAAGAAUUACGUUAUGCGUAUCCUUCAACAAUUUAAUUGCUAACAAGCAACGGAUUUGACAUACUACUUAUUAUCGUAGAAAAGAUUAAGAUAGAUAUCGCGCCAACUUGAGAAUGCCUUCAACGAAACACCGGUGGAAUCGAAACAACGAAUGAAUUUGAUAUGAUAACGAAAGAAGAGGAAUCUUGCACGAAUCACCGUAAGAAUUAAAAAAACGAUUGAAGAAAAGAUAAAGAAAAACACCAUGAAGAAUUGGAAAACGAAUUAGGAUACUUGGGGAAAUUUAGAUACAAGUGAACGAAGAGAUUCCGAGAUGAUUAGAGAACACUUGAAUGAAGCACCGAUAAGAUUUAGAGAAAGAGAGCUGAAAGCUGAGAAUAAAUAAUAUUUGAAAAGAUGGCCUUUAGAAAAUCAAGCUGAAAAGACUCCUGAAUUGCUCCGGAAGGGUGAAAAGAAUUCUCACAAUCGAAAACAAUUAUGAGAGGAUGGCAACAAGCUAGAACCAUGAAUCUUGAAGAGAAUGGAGCAAGAUUGAGAGGAAAAUCUUCUUCGGUCCUCAAAAUCCGAGAAUGAUGACGAGAAACACCACCAAGACUUGUUGAGAUACUCCGGGAUGACGAAUAGAAAGGUUGAGCCAACGGUGAAAAGAAUUUGAAAGAUCUUUGAGGAAGACAUAUGACUGAUGACAAUUCAUUCUUACAUCAUACUUGAAAAGAAUUUGAUAAUAACUCCGGGAGAAUAAGAAGAGUCAGGUAAGAACCUGGAAAAAGACCUGUGGGUUAGGGCCCACUCAAAAGAAACACCGUUGAAGUGAUUGCUUGAAAAGAGAGAUUCCACCGGUUGAAUUAAAUGGCUUGACUGAGAUAACAUCCUCGAAAGAGUUUGAAUGAAUGAGAAUAAGCACUAGCAUCUUCUGAGAUAUCCUCAGCACUCCGGAACAAUUGAAUAGCGAGAGGUGAAUGAUUAAGAAUUGCACCGGCAUGAGAAGGUAUUUGAAACGAGGAAAAAGGAUAUGAUCCACAAAGCUUGACUUGAUUCCACCGGAGAAGAAAAGAAUGAAUAAUGAUGAACUAUAAGGUCCGUUAAAAUCUUCAUGAGCAUCACCGGGUAAGAACAUUGACAGAAAAGAAUGGAGAGACUUCAAAAGAAUAAAAAGGAUACUUGAUAAAGAAAUCUUAGUCCUAGAGGAAAAAGGGUGGGUGGCAAAUGGUAAAACCAAUGUUGGGCCUUGCUGGAGGAGUUUUAUAUGUAAAUGGCUCUGAUACCAACUUGUAACGCCCUCGAUGCGGCUAUAUCUCCCACGUGUCGAAGCAUGACUUAGAGGCAUAACCGCAUUGAAAGCAAUGUCGCAAGUGAGGUAAUCUUCACACAACCCAUGUAAUACAUAAGGGACAGAGGUACAUAGUUGGCUUACAAUCGCCACUUCACACAAUACAUGAAUAAAGCAUUACAUCAUCCAGAUACAAUCAAGGUCCGACUACGGAACCAAAAUAAAAGAAGACUACCCCAAAAGCUACACAGAUCCCCGAUCGACCCCAACUAGGCUCCACUACUGAUCAACUAGAACGAAACAACACAAAGGACAAGAUAUUCAUCGAGCUCCUCCUGAGCUUGGUUGCGUCAUCUACACGGUAACCUCGGCACCUGCAAGCUGGUUUUGGAAGUAACUGUGAGCCACAGGGACUCAGCAAUCUCACACCCUCGCGAUCAAGAGUAUUUAAGCUUAAAGGUAAGGGAGUGGUAUGAGGUGGAGCUGCAGCAAGCGACUAGCAUAUAUGGUGGCUACCAUACGCAAAUGAGAGCGAGAAGAGAAGGCAAAGCACGUUCGAGAAGCUAUGAUCAAGAAGUGAUCCUAGCACAACCUACGUCAAACAUAACUCCAACACCGUGUUCACUUCCCGGACCCCGCCAAGAAGAGACCAUCACGGUAACACACGCGGUUGAUGUAUUUUAAUUAAGGUCAACUUCAGGUUUUCUACAACCGGACGUUAAUAAAUUCCCAUCUGCCCAUAACCACGGGCACGGCUUUCGAAAGUACAAAACCCUGCAGGGGUGUCCCAACUUAGCCCAUCACAAGCUCUCACGGUCAACGAAGGAUAUUCCUUCUAGCGGGAAGACCCGAUCAGACUCGGAAUCCCGGUUACAAGACAUCCUUGACAAUGGUAAAACAAGUCCAGCAAGACCACCCGAUGCGCCGACAUCCUGAUAGGAGCUGCACAUAUCUCGUUCUCAGGGCAACACCAGAUAAGCAAUCUGUACAACUAAAACCAGCCCUCGAGUUUCGCCGAGGUGGCGCUGCAAGGGGCUCUAGUUUGGACCAACACUUAGACAAGCACUGGCCCGGGGGGUUUAAAAUAAAGAUGACCCUUGGGCUGGCCUAACCCAAGGGAAAAAAGGCUAGGUGGCAAAUGGUAAAACCAAUGUUGGGCCUUGCUGGAGGAGUUUUAUUCAAAGCGAACUAUCAAGGGGGUUCCCAUUAUAACCCAACCGCGUAGAGAACACAAAACCUGGGAACAUAACUCUGAUAUGACGAAAACUAGGGCGGCAAGAGUGGAACAAAACACCAGGCAUAAGGUCGAGCCUUCCACCCUUUACCAAGUAUAUAGAUGCAUUAAUUAAAUAAGAUAUAUCGUGAUAUCCCAACAAAAUAUCCAUGUUCCAACAUGGACUUCACCUGCAACUAAUAACGCUAUAAGAGGGGCUGAGCAAAGCGGUAACAUAGCCAAACAACGGUUUGCUAGGAUAAGGUGGGUUAGAGGCUUGGUUUAACAAUAUGGGAGGCGUGAUAAGCAAGUGGUCGGUAUCGCAGCAUAGGCAUAACAAAAAAGCGAGCAACUAGCAAGCAAAGAUAGAAGUGAUUUCGAGGGUAUGGUCAUCUUGCCUGAAAUCCCGCAAGAAAGAAGAACGAGUCCAUGAAAAAGACAAACGGACGUAGUCGAACGGUUCCUCACAAACGCGAUGUUACCGGAACCAACCCGAAGAAGCAACACCGGAAAGAAGCACACAACAUAGUAAACAAACAUCACAUAAGCAUGGCACGAUGCACAACCAAGUAUGAUGCAUGUCUGUUUUAAUGAAGCAUGGCAUGGCAAAGUGCACAAACAAUCCUACAAAUUAAGUGGAGCACAAUAUGCAACGAGAUGAAACACCACAUUCGAUUAUUUAGUUCGAUCUCGUUUAUGUAGCCAACAAUAUUAAAUGUUGUUAAGCAUGUCAAGAGGUGAAACAUAAAGGAAUUAUCUAUCUAAACAAUUUAAAUGGGGCCGGAUAUAGCAAACAACAAAUCCGGUAAAUCCCCAUAUGCAUUUAGCAAAUUAAUGCAAACAACAAUUUUAAACAUUCUUGAUGUUGUUAACAUGAUGCGGAUGACAUAUGUAAGUUUAUGCAAUUUUUAUAAAAAUGUUGGCAUGAUAAGAUAUGAGGCAUUUGUCAUCGUGGCGGAAACAAAAGGGGUGCCACGGCGGUGAUAACGAAACGGUGCCACGGCAACGUUCCGGUUCCGACAACUCAUUGAGACGUCGGUGCGCAAGAAAGUGUGCGGGACAUGCUAGAGAUAGAGGGGUGAUCCCGGUUACCGGGUGUCCCACAUGAUGGCGACAAGGAAAACGAGGAACGUGCAAGGAUCAAUUCGGGCAUGACGCAAACACGAGCAUCGUCUUGGGGUUAUACCUUCCAAGCGUGCAAACAGGAUGGUUCGGGUUCGUCGAGGGGAGUAGAGGAAGUAGUCAUUCCGCGAUGGUAGUAGAAGUAGUGGUACUAUCGGUCCACGCCGGUAGUGGUACAUGUUCACGAAGUAGUCAUACACGUCAUCGGUAGUUUGUUCACUCAACGACCUUCAACGGCGGUAGUCGUUCUCGUAUCAUCAUGGAAGUAGUUGUACAUGGUUGCGACGGUAACCGAACUUGGCGAUCCGACGGGGUACACUCAAGUCAUCGUGGGAACUUGGUGAAUCCGAGGUCUUCGAAGUCGACGGUAGUUGUACAUCUCGUAGUGGAAUUGACGGAUCCGAGGACUCCCGGCGUCAUGGAACUUCACAAAAGUCGGGGCGGUCUUGACGCAUCUGACCCGAGGGACUCGGCAUGUCCAAAACGUAGCAGCACAACUGUCUCGGUCGGGAGCACUCGUUCGGGCGUCGUUGGUCUUGCGGGUCGUGGUACUUGACGGUCUUGAUGAAUCCAAUGGUACUUGGCAGUUCAAAAUUGCUCCUGUCCGGGGACGUUUAGUGAAGGCAGGGUCGCAGGUGGUCGGGGCUGGUCGUGGUCACCAACGAGAAGCAGGGCGUGGGAGGAGGAAGGCCAUGGCGUGACUGCAGUUUUUCCGGCGCCGCGAAUGAGGUGCAGGAGAGGAGAGGGAGACGAAACGAGGGCGUUGCAGCGGCUCGGAGAUCCUGGCGGGGCUCCUUUGUGGGAUGGGGCGCUCGCUGGCGGUCACUGGUUGCCGAAGGUGCGGGAACCAGAAGGAGCUCGAGGACGCAACCUCCUCUGCUCGGGCGCGGGAUCCAUGGCGGCAUCUGUUCGAACAGAGAGAGGGAGGGAGCUCGAGGUGAGUUGAAGAGGAGGGAAAAUAGAGGGAAACAGGAAGGAGAGGGCGACAGGGUCCUGCUCCGGUUGAGGCGCCGGGGAGUGACGAGGUCUUGCGGGCACGGAGGCCAGAUGGCGGGGACGAGGUGCUCGGGCGCCACGAGAUGAGCGCGGGACGAGGUGCUCGGGGCCAUCCAUGGCGCAGUGGCGGAAGCUCCGCCUGGUUCUCUUCUCCGGCGAGGGUGGAGCGCGGGUCUCGCACUGGAGGAACGAGGGGAGGGGGUCGAGAGAGGGCGAAGGGAUCGCGGGUGAGAGAAGGGGGUCGGGCGGAGGCGGCGCAG
rnacentral:lncRNA from 1 species